rnacentral:rRNA from 1 species
UCAGACGAUGCGUCAUGCAUAUCAAUAAGCGGAGGAAAAGAAACUAACAAGGAUUCCCUCAGUAACGGCGAGUGAAGCGGGAAGAGCUCAAAUUUGAAAUCUUGAAAGGUCUACCUUGCACGAAUUGUAGUUUAAAGAAGUGUUUUCUGUUACGAUCGUAAUAUAAGUUCUUUGGAAUAGGACAUCACAGAGGGUGAGAAUCCCGUCUAUGAUUGCGAUUUGUAGCUUUGUGAUACACUUUCAAAGAGUCGGGUUGUUUGGGAAUGCAGCCCAAAACGGGAGGUAAAUUUCUUCUAAGGCUAAAUAUUGGCGAGAGACCGAUAGCGAACAAGUACCGUGAGGGAAAGAUGAAAAGAACUUUGAAAAGAGAGUUAAAUAGUACGUGAAAUUGUCAAAAGGGAAGCGUUUAACACCAGUGUUGUUUUCUGAAAAUCAACCUCUGUUAGCUUUAUGCAUGUUUGUUUAGACCUAAUCAGCUAUCUUGCAUGUUCUAUUGUUUGCAGUGGUGCACUUUUCAGUUUACAGGUCAACAUCAGUUUUUUUUACCGUAAAAAAGUUAAAGAAAGGUAGCUCAUGGCUCCGGUCGUGAGUGUUAUAGCCUUUUUCCUGAUGCGGUAGGAGAGACUGAGGUCUGCAGUGUAGGCUAUUUGGCUAGAUACUCAGGUGCUAUGUGAUACCAUUUCAUAGAACAACUUGUUGAUUAUGUUUUGUCUAUUGCAUACUCGCUUGUACUAUCAUACCUACGCUUAGGAUGUUGACUGAUAUGUAGUCGUA